GCAAGUCGAGGGGUAACAGGGUUUAGUUUACUAGACUGCUGACGACCGGCGCACGGGUGAGUAACGCGUAUACAAUUUACCUUUUACAGGGGAAUAGCCCAGAGAAAUUUGGAUUAAUGCCCCAUAGUAUUAUAGAGUCACCUGGCUUUAUGAUUAAAGUUUCGGCGGUAAAAGAUGAGUAUGCGUCCUAUUAGCUAGAUGGUAAGGUAACGGCUUACCAUGGCGACGAUAGGUAGGGGUCCUGAGAGGAUAGUC
rnacentral:rRNA from 1 species